GAUGAACGCUAGCGGCAGGCCUAACACAUGCAAGUCGAACGGUAACAUAGAGAAGCUUGCUUUUCUGAUGACGAGUGGCGCACGGGUGCGUAACGCGUAUAGAACCAACCCUUUACAGGGGGAUAGCCCGGAGAAAUUCGGAUUAAUACCCCAUAGUACUAUUUAGAGGCAUCUUUAGAUGGUUAAAGAGAUUCGGUAAAGGAUGGCUAUGCGUCCUAUUAGUUGGUAGGUGAGGUAACGGCUCACCUAGACUUCGAUAGGUAGGGGCCCUGAGAGGGGGAUCCCCCACACUGGUACUGAGACACGGACCAG
rnacentral:rRNA from 1 species